ACGGAGGGUGCGAGCGUUAAUCGGAAUCACUGGGCGUAAAGCGCACGUAGGCGGUGUCGUAAGUCGGAUGUGACAGCCCUCUUCUCCCACGGGGAACUGCAUUCGAUACUGCGAUGCUUGAGUGCCGGAGAGGGUGGCGGAAUUCCAGGUGUAGGAGUGAAAUCCGUAGAUAUCUGGAGGAACGCCAGUGGCGAAGGCGGCCACCUGGCAGGCAACGGACGCUGAGGUGCGAAAGCGUGGGGAUCAAGCAG
rnacentral:rRNA from 1 species